rnacentral:rRNA from 1 species
CGCCGCGUGAGGGAUGACGGCCUCCGGGUUGUAAACCUCUUUUGACAGGGACGAAGCGCAAGUGACGGUACCUGUAGAAGAAGCACCGGCCAACUACGUGCCAGCAGCCGCGGUAAUACGUAGGGUGCGAGCGUUGUCCGGAAUUACUGGGCGUAAAGAGCUUGUAGGCGGUCUGUCACGUCGAUUGUGAAAACUUGCAGCUCAACUGCAAGCUUGCAGUCGAUACGGGCAGACUAGAGUACUUCAGGGGAGACUGGAAUUCCUGGUGUAGCGGUGAAAUGCGCAGAUAUCAGGAGGAACACCGGUGGCGAAGGCGGGUCUCUGGGAAGUAACUGACGCUGAGAAGCGAAAGCGUGGGUAGCGAACAGGAUUAGAUACCCUGGUAGUCCACGCCGUAAACGGUGGGUACUAGGUGUGGGUUUCCUUCCACGGGAUCCGUGCCGUAGCUAACGCAUUAAGUACCCCGCCUGGGGAGUACGGCCGCAAGGCUAAAACUCAAAGGAAUUGACGGGGGCCCGCACAAGCGGCGGAGCAUGUGGAUUAAUUCGAUGCAACGCGAAGAACCUUACCUGGGUUUGACAUACACCGGAAAGCCAUAGAGAUAUGGCCCCCCU